rnacentral:rRNA from 1 species
UACGAAGGGGGCUAGCGUUGCUCGGAAUCACUGGGCGUAAAGGGUGCGUAGGCGGGUCUUUAAGUCGGGGGUGAAAUCCUGGAGCUCAACUCCAGAACUGCCUUCGAUACUGGCGAUCUCGAGUCCGGGAGAGGUGAGUGGAACUCCGAGUGUAGAGGUGAAAUUCGUAGAUAUUCGGAAGAACACCAGUGGCGAAGGCGGCUCACUGGCCCGGUACUGACGCUGAGGUGCGAAAGCGUGGGGAGCAAACAGG